rnacentral:misc_RNA from 1 species
UCCCUUCUCUCAUUCCUUUGAAUUUCAUAAUUCCUUUCCUCCUCUCCUCUUUGAACGCACCUUGCUCUCCUUUUUAUUCCUUUGAUCAUUCCUGUUUUAUUAUCAUUAACUCUUCAAAGUAAAUCUUUUGUUAACUCAAUUGGUUUCUACUUUGGUAUUGGAGGUCUUUGCAGCUUCACACCUGCUCCUCUUUGUUCAUUAGCUGGAUCUCAGUGUUAUGCUUGGUUCCACUCGGCGUGAUAAGUUAUCUAUCGCUGAGGACACUGUAAAAGGUGGCCAAGGUAAAUGCAGAUGAACCGCUUCUAAUAGUCCAUUGACUUGGACAAUACUUUUAUGAUCUGAUCUCAAAUCAGGUAGGACUACCCGCUGAACUUAAGC